AUUGAACGCUGGCGGCAGGCCUAACACAUGCAAGUCGAACGAGUGGCGGACGGGUGAGUACUGUCUGGGCAACUGCCCGAUGGAGGGGGAUAACUACUGGAAACGGUAGCUAAUACCGCAUACCAUCGGAUGUGCCCAGAUGGGAUUAGCUAGUAGGUGGGGUAACGGCUCACCUAGGCGACGAUCCCUAGCUGGUCGGCUAGGAUGACCAGCCAAACGGGAACGGAGACACGGUCCAGACUCCUACGGGAGGCAGCAGUGGGGAAUAUUGCACAAUGGGCGCAAGCCUGAUGCAGCGAUGCCGCGUGUAUGAAGAAGGCCGUCGGGUUGUAAAGUACUUUCAGCGGGGAGGCGUUACCCGCGGAAGAAGCACCGGCUAACUCCGUGCCAGCAGCCGCGGUAAUAC
rnacentral:rRNA from 1 species